rnacentral:rRNA from 1 species
AUUGAACGCUGGCGGCAGGCUUAACACAUGCAAGUCGAGCGGAGAUGAGGUGCUUGCACCUUAUCUUAGCGGCGGACGGGUGAGUAAUGCUUAGGAAUCUGCCUAUUAGUGGGGGACAACAUUCCGAAAGGAAUGCUAAUACCGCAUACGUCCUACGGGAGAAAGCAGGGGAUCUUCGGACCUUGCGCUAAUAGAUGAGCCUAAGUCGGAUUAGCUAGUUGGUGGGGUAAAGGCCUACCAAGGCGACGAUCUGUAGCGGGUCUGAGAGGAUGAUCCGGCACACUGGGACUGAGACACGGCCCAGACUCCUACGGGAGGUAGCAGUGGGGAAUAUUGGACAAUGGGGGGAACCCUGAUCCAGCCAUGCCGCGUGUGUGAAGAAGGCCUUAUGGUUGUAAAGCACUUUAAGCGAGGAGGAGGCUACUGAGACUAAUACUCUUGGAUAGUGGACGUUACUCGCAGAAUAAGCACCGGCUAACUCUGUGCCAGCAGCCGCAGUAA